rnacentral:tRNA from 1 species
GCCGGGAUAGCUCAGUUGGUAGAGCAGAGGACUGAAAAUCCUCGUGUCCAGCC